rnacentral:rRNA from 1 species
AUUCAACGCCGGAAAACUCACCAGUGCCGACGGACAAAUGAAAGCCAGGUUAACGACUUUGCUGGAUUGUUCGAGAGGUAGUGCAUGGCCGCCGUCAGUUCGUACCGUAAGGCGUUCUGUUAAGUCAGAUAACGAACGAGACCCUCAUCCCUAUUUGCCAAGGUCUCUCCGGAGAUCAAGGGACUAUAGGGAGACCGCUGGCGCGAAGUCAGAGGAAGGCGAGGGCAACGGUAGGUCAGUAUGCUCCGAAUGCACUGGGCUACACGCGCAAUACAAAGGACGGGACAAUGGGCUGCUGCUCCGAGAGGAAUGAUGGCUAUCCCGAAACCCGUUCGUAGUUCGGAUCGAGGGCUGUAACUCGCCCUCGUGAAGCUGGAUUAGGUAGUAAUCGCGUCUCAAAAAGGCGCGGUGAAUACGCCCCUGUUCCUUGCACACACCGCCCGUCAAACCAUCUUAGUUGGGGGUGGGUGAGGCUGCCUUUUAGUGGGGUAUUCGAGCCUGCUUUCGACAAGGAGGGUUAAGUCGUAACAAGGUAUCU